rnacentral:rRNA from 1 species
GACGAACGCUGGCGGCGUGCUUAACACAUGCGAGUCGAACGAUGAAGCCGGAGCUUGCUCUGGUGAAUUAGUGGCGAACGGGUGAGUAACACGUGAGUAACCUGCCCUUGACUCUGGGAUAACUGCGGGAAACUGUAGCUAAUACCGGAUACGACCCUCGGAGGCAUCUCCUGGGGGUGGAAAGAAUUUCGGUCAAGGAUGGACUCGCGGCCUAUCAGCUAGUUGGUGAGGUAAAGGCUCACCAAGGCGACGACGGGUAGCCGGCCUGAGAGGGUGACCGGCCACACUGGGACUGAGCAACGGCCCAGACUCCUACGGGAGGCAGCAGUGGGGAAUAUUGCACAAUGGGCGCAAGCCUGAUGCAGCAACGCCGCGUGAGGGAUGACGGCCUUCGGGUUGUAAACCUCUUUUAGCAGGGAAGAAGCGAAAGUGACGGUGCCUGCAGAAAAAGCACCGGCUAACUACGUGCCAGCCGCCGCGGUAA